AUUCUACUCCCUCCGUUGCACAAUACAUGCCUUCUAUUUGUCAAAAUAUAUAUGUAUCUAGACAUGUUUUAGUAUAUAGGUACAUCCAUUUUUGGACAAAUGUAAGUCAAGUAUUUUGGAACGGUGGGAGUACACA
rnacentral:pre_miRNA from 1 species